ensembl:lncRNA
CAUAGAUAAUAUAGAAGACAGCACGCUAACGUCUCUAGUAUUCUGUUUCUAUGGUCGGCACGUCUGGUGGCAUCUCUGGCUGCUGUUGAUCUUGUUUUUGGAGUAAAACACGGUGGAAGCUGAAUUAGUGAGGAUGACUCCUGCUCCUGUCAUCUCUAAGCUCCUCACACAUCUUUACCUGCACAUGAGGAAAAUCACUCCUGUAGAAUGCAGAACCUCUGGGGAUGUCCUGUGGAUUCUGUGGAUCCUGUGGGUUGCAGGGUGGGUCCUACCUAGACCAGGCUGAUCCUGGACCAUCCCACAGAUGCUCCAUCAGAUGUGGAUGUGGGGAGUGUGGAACCCAGAUGUUCAGAGGGAGAUGAUGCCACAUCUGGUCCAGCUGAUGGAAGGUCUUGAAGUUCUCUGACUGGCCUCGACUGAAGAUGGUCGUCUCACUGGAUUUAAGAUGCACAAUGAGGGACGUCUGCAGCGACUGAGAAAGAGUCUCACCACAUCCUGACAUGAGGAAAAAGACUUAAUUGAAGACUACAAUGAGAAAAACUAUCAGACAGCAGACGGCUGCAUUCAAGUCUGUAGCUGCUGAAUUCAUGGAUGAAUCAUCUGGCACUAGAAAGGAAGACCAUCAAACAUCCACGUCAGCUGAUGGAGGACCAAGAGUCUCACCUAACAACCAACCUACAGAGUGAAGACCUCGAAUCUGAUUGGACGGCCUCCUAUUCAGCCACAUGUGUGAACAAAUGCCUCUAAGUUGAUUUGUUUUCUAAAAUAAAUCUAGUUUGAGUCCUAAUCUAUGCCUGUGUGUUUGCUUCUUUACACCGCUGUUAACAGUUUAGGCUGUUACAUUGUUCCAGAUAAGACAAGUACAAGAUUCUUCAGAGCCGUUCUACCACGAGCCUGACAGGAAGAACUCCAACAGCUACUGAAUGUUCCUGUGGUUCCCUCAAGGCUACAGGAGGAGCCCUAUGAGGACGAGCCGGUCCACCUGAUGGCGGCCAGUCGCUGCGGUUCAAAGCCAACACCGACUACGUGGACUUCUACUGGACCACACGGAGGCCUUCAAACCGGACCAACAAGUUCACCGACUCCCCGACUCGUGGGUCUGAGGACGCCGCCGAGCCUCGGCCCAGCCGGCCUCCUGUCUGUGGGUGUUUGAGUGCUGAGAGGUUUGUGGAUGCAUGUGAACAUGUCUGUGUUGAAACAGCAGCUUUUCACUCAGUAACGCCGGGAAAAACCAAGAGCUCCUUUAUUUGUGACUUCCACUAAAAAAACUGAUGAAAAUAAGUUUGCCAGGGUUCUGACUAAUAACAGAUUAUUAAAUAAUGAAAAUAAUCGUUUAAAUAUUCUUUUAAACAAUCCUUUUAGGUCUGCAUUUCCUUUACACUGACUUCUUGGUAUAUGUACAAGUAUUUUGGGUGGAAUAUACCAUUAAGCCCGAUGUUCGAGGGUUCUUCUGGGAAUAUACCAUCAGAUCAACCUUUUAGGUCUACAUUGGAAGAUUUUAGAGUAGAAUAUUACUCCAAACCAUCCUUUAGGUCUACAUUUAAGGUGGAAUACUCCUUUACACCAAGAUUUUUUGGUCUACAUUGAAAGAUUUUAGGUGAAAUAUUCCUUUGAACGAACUUUUUAAGUGUAUGUUCAAGGAUGUUUGGUGGAAUAUACCAUCAGACCAACCUCCAAGUUCUACAGUAGUGAAUUUUAGAUGGAAUAUACCAUUAAACUCACCUUUUAGGUCUAC